rnacentral:rRNA from 1 species
GUCCAGACUCCUACGGGAGGCAGCAGUGGGGGAUAUUGCACAAUGGGGGAAACCCUGAUGCAGCGACGCCGCGUGGGUGAAGAAGCGCCUCGGCGCGUAAAGCCCUGUCAGCAGGGAAGAAAAUGACGGUACCUGAAGAAGAAGCCCCGGCUAACUACGUGCCAGCAGCCGCGGUAAUACGUAGGGGGCAAGCGUUAUCCGGAUUUACUGGGUGUAAAGGGGGCGUAGACGGCGAUGCAAGCCAGGAGUGAAAGCCCGGGGCCCAACCCCGGGACUGCUUUGGAAACUGUGUAACUAGAGUACAGGAGGGGCAGGCGGAAUUCCUGGUGUAGCGGUGAAAUGCGUAGAUAUCAGGAGGAACACCGGUGGCGAAGGCGGUCUGCUGGACUGCGACUGACGUUGAGGCCCGAAAGCGUGGGGAGCAAACAGGAUUAGAUACCCCCGUA